ensembl:lncRNA
GGCCCCGAGGGCAGCGGCCACGAGGGGACCAAAUCAUAUGUGCGCGUUUUAUAUAUUUAAUACCCGUUUUAAACGAACCUUUUAGUAAAAAAAACCAAAAAGCAAAAAAAAAACCCCAAAAACCCUACCCAACCACCAAACAAUCCCUCCCCCUCCAGGAAAAAAAAAAAAAAAAAAAAAAAAAAAAAAAAAAAAGGGCAAGAAAAAGGCUCCCUAACAAUUCAGUGGAGGAAAUCAAAGACCCUCCUAUUCGGCUGCAUUUGUUGUCAGAGUAGCGUUUUUGUAUAGGAUAUGGUUUGAACGGGUUUUUCCUUUAUGGACAGAAAGGAAUCUCUCUCUUUGACAGAAUGGGGAACUGAUGGGGUAUAUGUAUUGUUACUGCUGAAGCUGAACUUUAAUGGACCUUUCACACUUUAUUUCCUGGUUGAGAUAGUGUAUUUAUUAUUGUAGCUCUGCGUUAUUUGGCUUUUAAUACAGAGGUUUUCUUUCUGGAGCCACUGUAGCCUUUUGUUGGUCUGUUUCCUCCAGGGUGGAACAGAGGGUUUGGCUGGCCUUCCUGUCUGCAAACCUGCCACAAAGCUCCUUUCCCCAAGAAAUGGCGUUACUGGGGCUGCUGGUGGCAAAAGGAGAAUCCCAAAUCCUUUCUGACUGGUAUUUGCUCUAUUUGUGCAGGAGAUGUGGGUCUGUAUGCCUACACCAGGGUUGGGUGGGGAGCACAGCUGUGCCAGAGAUCCUCCAAAGCAGUUUCAUCUUCACAUCUCCACAGACUAUGGCUUUCUCCUCAGUUUGAGGUUGGGUUGCUUCAGUCCUGGGGAAAUGAAGCCUAUUCUGAGUUGUGCUAAACAGCGUGGGGCAAGUCUCUCGACUUCCUCAAGGUUAAUUUCUCAAAACCAGCUUAGAUGCAGUGUAUUUGUUGGAGACACAGUAAUGCUGUACCUCUUUUUCAUCAACCAGUCUGCAGGGCUGCUCCCAGCAAGUCUGUGGGGUGAGAAGGCAGGAGCUGCCAGUCCAGAACUAGAUUCCAGGUGCUGCUGUGCAAGGGUACAAAGAAGAAAGAUUUAUUUUCUCUUGUUUGAGCAGACAGCUGUGUAGCCUGAAAUACCAUUUGUUGUAUACUUCCAACUGUUUAGCCUUAUAAAAAGUUGUUUCAUUUGCCUUAGACAUGAUUAGUCCGGCUAAAGUUUCUAAAACCAAAAUAUGAGCUAAGUGACGAAUAUUUGCAAUAGGAAUUCUUUUUUUUUUUGGUCAACAUCACUGUUUUUAAUUUGCUAGGAAUGCAUGAAUUUGCUUGGGGCCAGUUUGGUGUAUUCGUAAUGUAUGGUGGAAAUGACUGGAUGAAAAGUCGGGAAGGAUUAAAUUCUUAGGAUUCCCAUAUUUUUUAACUGACAACAAAAUAAAAUAAAUGCAUGCUCUAUGUGUAUGCUGUCUGGACAAAAAGACAGAGAAAAAGAUUGACAAACAGCAGAAAUAAAUCAAGAUUUAAAAAUGCUUCAUGUUACUAGGCUGCCUCUACACCCACUGUUCCUCCUGUUAAUCCUCUUGUGGGGUUGUCACUCGAGUAACAUUUCAGUGGCAUUGUUUUCAGAAAGCAGAGGAUCUGAUUGCUGUGGGAAGUGCUCUCUUGACCUGUUGAUCCAAAGGGCACCUGGCCCUGUACACCUAGUUUAGAGAGCCUCUAUUUUCUUUCCUUGAUGUGUAAUACAGUGUCAUUUCCACCUUGUGCAAACUCUUGUCAGAUAUUUGACAUGCUAGAGAGCAAUUCUUUGCCUAUUAUCUCCAGUGUAACAGAGACACCUCUUCAUACUGAAAGGCAGGGCUAGCAGGAAAACAUGAAGAUAGUGCUAACACCCUCUCAAAAGAGAAAUGUUCUACAUAUGGAAUAGACCUCAGAAAAGUUGCCAUGCUAGGGAAUAAUUUCAUCUUUUGAAUGAGAUGCAUUUAGGUAGAGAGUUAAGAAUUUUUACUGGAAAUUUUUCUGGCUUUGUUAAUUCAUGAUGUAUAGUCCUUGCUGUGGUGCAGGGAGCCUGUGCUUAAACUCAAUUGAAUCUCUGUUGAAUCUCUUUUUUGCUUAUCCUUAUUUUACCAGUGAUAUGAUAUUGGGUUUUUGUUUGGUUUUUUUCCUGAAUUGCAUCAACAUAAACAAGGGUAUGGUGUUACUGUCUGAAACCGGCAAAUUCAGUUAUUAAAGACUUAUUAUUUUGCAGUUCUUGCAGACAUGUAGCAGGUGGUACACCAAAACUGGUACAAAAUGGCUUGUUUUUCAACUUCUAUCAAUGUCAGCUUGAAUACAAACUUCGUGAAUAGACAGUGCCACACUCAGAGUAUUUUGCUGCUUCACUUAAAAAACAUGAUACAAGAGAGGGAUUUUCUUAUUUUAUAAAUACACUUGUAACUGGAGCUAUUAUUAAAAAUAUGCUAAGACACGAAUGUUUAAAACACAGGGAUGGUGUUAAACAAACUCCAAAGGCAAGUCUUGUCCAGGAUACAAACAACUUCAAUGUUUUCAGGGAGUGCUGAUCUCAGACACAAUGUGCUGAGAGCCCUUGUGGGUUAGGGCAGGUGUUUCCUUAGAUCGCAGUGACCGUGAGCAUGAGCAUGUUCCUUUCGCAGACAGAGACCGGUCCUGUUUCUGUGCCUUAAAGAGGAGUUUAGGGCACAGCAGGGGGCACAGGGAUUACCUGCUGUACAGGCUUUAGGCUGAAUCUAACUCCCUGAACCUCGGGCUUCAGUGAGGUGGCAGCAGGGCUUCUCCUGUAAGAAACAGACAGUGGAAAUGCGCUAUGCAAAUGGUGAGCUUUCUUCAGUCACUGUUACACCCAACUUCAAUAACUCUGCUCCUGUAGCUGUACUACUGUGACUCUAAGUAAAGUAUAAUUUUGAGUAACUUUUGCCUUCAUCCAUGGGAAUUCCAUGUGAACGUAACCUGGAAGAAGCAAGCCCAGGGCAAUGUGGAAUGAUAUAUCUGCACACCAGCUAGUUAAAGAUUACAAGUUUAGACACUGAAAUGUCUGUUUAUUUUCUUCUGCACUGGGAGUGGAGCUUUAUUGUCUCUUAGCUGGAGUUGACUCUAAGUCAUUUUUAUUCAUUUGGAUUUAUUUUUAAGACCAGCUGGUAGCAGGGUCAUCACGAGAGCAGAUUAGUCACCAUGUAUAAUCCUUUAUGUACUCAGGGAGGGCAUAUA